GAUGAACGCUGGCGGCGUGCCUAAUACAUGCAAGUCGAGCGAACGGACGAGAAGCUUGCUUCUCUGAUGUUAGCGGCGGACGGGUGAGUAACACGUGGAUAACCUACCUAUAAGACUGGGAUAACUUCGGGAAACCGGAGCUAAUACCGGAUAAUAUUUUGAACCGCAUGGUUCAAAAGUGAAAGACGGUCUUGCUGUCACUUAUAGAUGGAUCCGCGCUGCAUUAGCUAGUUGGUAAGGUAACGGCUUACCAAGGCAACGAUGCAUAGCCGACCUGAGAGGGUGAUCGGCCACACUGGAACUGAGACACGGUCCAGACUCCUACGGGAGGCAGCAGUAGGGAAUCUUCCGCAAUGGGCGAAAGCCUGACGGAGCAACGCCGCGUGAGUGAUGAAGGUCUUCGGAUCGUAAAACUCUGUUAUUAGGGAAGAACAUAUGUGUAGGUAACUGUGCACAUCUCGACGGUACCUAAUCAGAAAGCCACGGCUAACUACGUG
rnacentral:rRNA from 1 species